UACGAAGGGGGCUAGCGUUGCUCGGAAUUACUGGGCGUAAAGGGCGCGUAGGCGGACAGUUUAGUCAGAGGUGAAAGCCCAGGGUUCAACCUUGGAAUUGCCUUUGAUACUGGCUGUCUUGAGUUCGGGAGAGGUGAGUGGAAUGCCGAGUGUAGAGGUGAAAUUCGUAGAUAUUCGGCGGAACACCAGUGGCGAAGGCGACUCACUGGCCCGAUACUGACGCUGAGGCGCGAAAGCGUGGGGAGCAAACAGG
rnacentral:rRNA from 1 species